UACGUAGGGUCCGAGCGUUGUCCGGAAUUACUGGGCGUAAAGGGCUCGUAGGCGGCCAACUAAGUCCGACGUGAAAUCCCCAGGCUUAACCUGGGAACUGCGUCGGAUACUGGAUGGCUUGAAUCCGGGAGAGGGAUGCGGAAUUCCAGGUGUAGCGGUGAAAUGCGUAGAUAUCUGGAGGAACACCGGUGGCGAAGGCGGCCAUCCUGGACCGGCAUUGACGCUAAAGCGCGAAAGCC
rnacentral:rRNA from 1 species